UACGUAGGUGGCAAGCGUUGUCCCAGAUUUACUGGGUGUAAAGGGGGCGCAGGCGGGAAGCUAAGUUGGAUGUGAAAUACCGGGGCUCAACUCCGGAGCUGCAUCCAAAACUGGUUUUCUUGAGUGGAGUAGAGGCAAGCGGAAUUCCGAGUGUAGCGGUGAAAUGCGUAGAUAUUCGGAGGAACACCAGUGGCGAAGGCGGCUUACUGGGCUCUAACUGACGCUGAGGCCCGAAAGCGUGGGGAGCAAACAGGAUUAGAUACCCUGGUAGUCCCU
rnacentral:rRNA from 1 species